GACGAACGCUGGCGGCGUGCUUAACACAUGCAAGUCGAGCGGUAAGGCCCUUCGGGGUACACGAGCGGCGAACGGGUGAGUAACACGUGAGUAAUCUGCCCAUCACUUCGGGAUAACUCCGGGAAACCGGUGCUAAUACCGAAUAUGACCACUUCAGGCAUCUGAUGGUGGUGGAAAGUUCCGGCGGUGAUGGAUGAGCUCGCGGCCUAUCAGCUUGUUGGUUGGGUAGUGGCCUACCAAGACUUCGACGGGUAGCCGGCCUGAGAGGGUGACCGGCCACACUGGGACUGAGACACGGCCCAGACUCCUACGGGAGGCAGCAGUGGGGAAUAUUGGACAAUGGGCGAAAGCCUGAUCCAGCAACGCCGCGUGAGGGAUGACGGCCUUCGGGUUGUAAACCUCUUUCAGCAGGGACGAAGCGCAAGUGACGGUACCUGCAGAAGAAGCACCGGCCAACUACGUG
rnacentral:rRNA from 1 species